rnacentral:rRNA from 1 species
GUGCCAAGCAGCCGCGGUAAUUCCAGCUCCAAUAGCGUAUACUAAUGUUGUUGCAGUUAAAAAGCUCGUAGUUGGAUUUCUGGUUGUUUAGCGUAUGGUCCGUCUCUUUAUGGGUCGUGUACCGUUUUUGCUGACACCAUCUUAGUAGUGAGCCCUAUUGGCAUUAGGUUGUCGAUUGGAGGAGCUGCUUCGUUUACUGUGAUAACAAAUAGAGUGUUCAAAGCAGACAUUACGUCUUGAAUGCUUCAGCAUGGAAUAAAAAGAUAGGACUUCGGCACUAUUUUAUUGGUAUGUAUGCCUAGUAAUGAUUAAUAGGGAUAGUUGGGGGUAUUCAUAUUUGAUUGUCAGAGGUGAAAUUCUUGGAUUUAUGAAAGAUGAACUUAUGCGAAAGCAUUUAUCAAGGAUGUUUUCAUUAAUCAAGAACGAAAGUUAGGGGAUCGAAGAGGAUUAGAUACCCUCGUAGUCUUAACCAUAAACUAUGCCGACUCGGGAUCGGUGGGGUAUGUUUUACGUCUCCAUCGGCACCGUAUGAGAAAUCAAAGUCUUUGGGUUCCGGGGGGAGUAUGGUCGCAAGGCUGAAACUUAAAGGAAUUGACGGAAGGGCACCACCAGGAGUGGAGCCUGCGGCUUAAUUUGACUCAAG